rnacentral:snoRNA from 1 species
GCAUGGUCAUGGAUUGAUGGCAGGCUCUUCUCUGUGGGCCUCUCAUAUUCUGCCCGUGCCAGAGGAGUGUGCAGCCCUGGACCAUUGCCCAGCCUCCUCACUGAGCACUGAAGGGGGAAAAAAAAAA